GCUUUGAUACCAACUGUGACGCCCCCAAAAUAAGUAUACAUCACCCAUCUUGAGUCGCCAAAUACAUGGCACAUAAAUCAAAUACAAACUUAAUUAUACAACUGUCGUGUAAAAUACGACAACAUAUAUGCUGUGAGUUUUAAUACAAAUAUUGUCAUCUAGACAAUAUCCACACUCAAUGGAGUCCUCAUUACAUUUAUUAUCACACUAUUUUAUAGAAUAGUGAGGACUACUAUGACACCAUCUCGGACCGUUACUUCGUUUCCCAACUAGUCCCGACUACGUUCUCAUUUCCUGAAGAGAACAAUGAAAGCAAAAAGGGUGGGCUCAACUAGACCAGUAAGAAAUAUUAUGACUAAGAUAAUGCAGAAUAAAUUAUCGUUAGCCUUCAACAAUGUUAAACUAAUAAAAUAUAACAAACAUCAAGUUUAACUGCAGCAGAACAAUCAAUCCAUUAGAAGUGUGAGACCCCAAAUUUUACGAAUAAAGAUUUAAUUUUCUCAUAAUAUAUUUUUUUAAUAUUAUGAUGUGGAUUUGAUAUAAUGUUAUAGUUGUGGGUAGUAUUUAUAAAUUUUGCAAAGUACGCAAGUUGUUAUAUAAUAUUCGAUUGGUCGGGGAAUAUUCGUUUUAACAGGAAAUAUUUGUACGACGGCACAAUCAUUGGUGGACCCCACAACAGAAUUAUUGUUGGAUUGAGAAAACAACAAAAAUAUUUUAUUGAAAAUAACGGCGGAAGUUUUACCGUUGAUACUGUUGAACUACUCGGUAGUAAAAGUACAGUAAUACGUGUGGUUGCAUAGUAGCACACAAUAUUGAUUUUUGAUGCUUAUGUGAGAAGUCAUUCAGUUUUAUUCAAUUAUUGUCGAUAUUUUAUAUGUUAUUAAAUAAAUAAUUGAGAUGACGAAGUUGUUAAUAUUAUUAUUUGCAUUAUUAACGAUGUCUAGAAGUUCUGCCAAGGAGAGGUUUGGUCACCUAAUUGCGCGCCAAUAGGGAGAAAUCCUUAUUGGAAAGCCCCCUCUUUCCUGGGAAUGACCUGGUCGAUUAAUGGUGUGAAUAAUAAUAAUGAUGAUGAUGUUUUGUUUUAUUCGUAUUAUUAACGUAAUAAAACAGAAAAACUUUUAAUAUAAACCAGAAUACUUUUAUAAAGUUAUUUAUAAAUAGAAUAUAUUAUAUUCUAUUAUGCAUAGUAAAAUCUUUUUAUAUAAAAUAGAAUAUAUUAUGUUUUAUUUAAAAGAUUUUGCUUUAAAUAUGGACUGUCCGAUUAAAGUAAAUUAAUCUGGACUGUUCACGGAUUGGUUACUAUUCAUUCCAUUCUUCUAUAAAUAGAAGCUCAUUCCUUCUUUUUUUUUCUUAUGAAUUCAUUGAAACUCUAGAGAGAGAAACUAUAGAGAGAAAGAAGAAAAGUAUUCUGCUACUUCACUACUUCUUUAUUCAGUUCUUCUUUAUACGGUAAGGGAUAUUAUUUGUUGUACCCGUAAGGGGUGUUAUUUCUUUUGUAUUCAUGAAGAGAACUUCUGUUAUUCCAUCUUUAUUAUUCUGUUGGAAUAACCUGUAUACGCGGGCUACCCUAUACUUGGUGAAAUUCUUCUGUAUUCCAUUCUUUAUUAUUCUGUUGGAAUAUCCUGUCUGUGCUUUACGCAUGACCUGGUUCCGUCUUUAUUAUUCUGUUGAAAUAUCUUGUCUGUGCUAUACGCCGGACCUAGUUCCGUCUUUAUUAUUCUGUUGGAAUAUCCUGUCUCUGCUUUACGCCGGACCUGGUUCCGUUUUUAUUAUUCAUUUAUUCUGUUGGAACAUCCUGUCGGUGUGAAUUUCACCUGACCUGGUUCCGUUAUUUAGUAUUCUGUUGGAAUAACCUGUCUAUGCGAAAUACCGCAUGCAUGGUGAUUUCUGUUGUUAUUCCGUUCCUUAUUAUUCUGUUAGAACAUCCUGUCGGUAUGAAUUUCACCUGACCUGGUUUCAUUAUUUAUUAUUCUAUUGGAAUAACCUGUCUAUGCGAAGUACCGCAUGCAUGGUGAUUUCUUUUGUUAUUUCAUUCUUUAUUAUACUCAUUUGGUUAAAGUUUUGACUUCUAUACUCCAUGAAAUUAGUGGAAUAUCCUUGAUAUUUGCGCUUCAUCCAGUAUCUUUUCAUGGAAAUAUUCUUCUGAGCAUUCUUGAAUUUUACUCUACAAAGAAGUAUCAUGUUGACAAUUUGGACGUUAUUAGUUCCUGGAUAAAUUAAUUCUUGAACUUGUUUUAUUGAAUUCUUAUAUCAUUGUCAUCAUCCUCAUGUUUAUAUUUUGUUGAAAGUCAUCUGUGGCCUGUAGUGCAUAGAUGGACUUGGUAUGAUUAUGACCAGGGAUUAUUCGGUGUAAUCAUGACCGUAAUAUUACAAAUGAUGUGGUAAAAGUCCUCAUUGGCCUGUAGUGCAUUGAUGGACAGUGGUUGGCAUGAUCAUGACCAUUGAUGAAUACACGAAUAUCAUUGGCCCGUAGUGCAUGGAUAAUUUGUGGUUGUGACCCUAAUGAAUAUCAUUGGCCGUAGUGCAGGGAUGAUGUGGAUUAUUUAUUAAGCUGAGUCUCAGCGAUAAAAGUGAUGUAAUCAUUAUUAAACCCUACUUAAUUUUUGAACGUUAUCACUAUAUACGUGAUUUAAGAUUGAUGUUUACCAUAUAUAUUAAGUGCAUACAUGUUCUACUAUUUGUUUCCAAUUAAUUAGGAUUAUGAACCUAACUUGUCUAUCAAAAUCCCAAUGUCGGCCUUGCGGCGCCAAACACUAACGCACCACUGGCGCUGCGACGCGAGUUAGUAGUGGAUAAAGUCCAGUCUCGGCGCUGCAAUGCGAGAUCUAAGCAUACCAGUGGCACUGCGGCACCACUCUUCCAUAACUAAUUCCUAUAUACCCGGCGCUGUGGCGCAGAGUUUAGUACUGGGGUUGGCGCUGCGGCGCCUCCCCUAAGCCUCAGAUGGUUUUGUCAGUUUGAUUUUUCUAUGAAAUUCCCGUGCUCAUAACUUAUUCGUUUUACAUCUAAUUUGGCUCGUUCAAAAGACAUUAGCUCCUAAAUCACAUACACUAUGAUUCCAUUAGAAUAUAUUUAUUUUUGAAUCUUUUAACAUGGAAUUCACUGUUUAGUUCAUUAUCGAGCGCUCGUUUAUCGUUCACGAGCGUUCAUAGCUCAUUUUAUUUGUUAUAAGUCAAAAUUCGACUAUUCUUGAGUCUACGACUCUUCAAUACCAUAUCUCACGUGAUGCCAUUGAAAACAAAAGUUUCCAAGCUACACGAAACUUUUGACUACUAAUCCAAGAUUUAUACAUUUUCAACGUUUAACGCCGAAUCUCAGAAAUUUUUCCAUAACUUCGUUACUCGUGUUCUCUACGCCAAAUCAAAUGGAAUAACUCCAUUGAUUCAUCAUCUACAUCCUAACCAAGAAAUAUGCACAUACCCUAACAAUGAUGGUUUUCAAUUUGUCCAUCAACAACCAAGUUAACGUUCAAAUGUUUAUUCAGUUUAAACUUACGUAACUACUUAUGAUUUCUACUUAAACAUGACUUAUCAAUGUUUUAAUCAUUAAUAGCCAUCCUUAUUCUUCCGGAAGAGACAUGCUCCACCAAUCUACGAUUCUCUAUGAAAAAACAAAUCAAAAAGGUCGAAGACUAAUGAUUUACGAAUUAUUACCUUUUCGUUCUUCACGUUCUUGCUAAAAACUCUUAUGCUUUGCUUCAAGGAAGCUUGAUUACUUGUUUCUAGCUCUUUCUCUCUCGUAAUAUAUGUUGGCUAAUGUUUGUAAAAUAACAAAUUACAAACUAAAGCUUCUCUAUAUAGGAAGUUCAAAUGGAGGGUAAAAUGGUCAUCGUACCCAACCUCCUUACUAUUCAUGGCUUAGCCACCUAGUAAAAACUUUACUUGGUGGCCAAGUGGUCAGUCCACAAGGUCCAUGGGUCUCCCAAAUGGGUUUCCCCAUGGGUUUUACCCAUUCGGUGACCCGUUAAUUCGAUCCGCGAUUCGGUUCUUGGAUCGGGCUUGAUUUAACCUAACAUUGGGCCUUAACUUGGGCUUAAUUACACCAUUCAUUGGGCUUGAUAUAAUCCAAGUCCAAUUGGAUUCUACAAAGUCCAUAAACUCAAAGUCCAUUAAGACUAAUCGUAUUCUAUGCAUUCAAUUCUCGUAUUCUCUUCGUUUAGUAUUUAUACGAUAUUCGUAUUAUACGUCGUAAUAUUCUUCAUACUGAACUUGUAUACUAACUACUAUCAUACUUAUAUAUCACACGUAUAAUAACCCUAAUCAUUAUACGCACUUCAUUUUCUUCUCAAAAAUCACUUUUCCUAACCCUUAGGUUUAAGUGCACAGACAAAAACUUGAUUUUCCAUAACUGAAAUAUUAUUGGAUAUUCCAUCUCGUCUUCGUAUUCUAUCAUUACGCAGUUCUCGAAAAUUCAAAGUUAAUUCUUGAGUAGAAGCGGUUAGUAUUUUUACAGAAAUUUCUCGAAAAAGUUUUAUUUUCGUCUUGGAAAUUCAAAACAAAAAAUUCUAGCACAUAACCAGAAUCAUAACCACAUCCGUACAUUUUAGGUCAUAGAAUGACCUUCAUAUAGCAUACUCACAUAAAUAAUCAAUUAAAUUCAUUUAAUCCACAUAAUCAAAUAAAAAAUUAAUUAAUUUAAAAAUCCAUUUUUCUCAGGCGUUACAUCAUCCCCCUUAUAAGGAUUCUGUCCCUAGAAUCUAGCUACAAUUACAUAAAUAAAUGAGGAAAAUUUUCCUUCAUUUUACUUUCGAGUUCCCAAGUUGCUUCUUCGACAUUGUGGUUCCUCCAAAUCACCUUCACCGAAGGUAUUAUCUUAUUUCUUAAGACUUGUUCCUUCUUAUCAACAAUUUGAACUGAAAGUUCUUCAUACGUUAAGUCUUUCUCUAUCUGAAUAGAUUUAUAAUCUAAUACGUGUUUAUAGUUUGGUUUAUAAGGACGCAACACAGACACGUGAAACACAUUAUGUAUACCUUUCAUUUCUGGAGGUAGAGCUACUUCAUAAGCUACCUCUCCUACCCUACUUAAAAUUUAAAACGGUCCUAUAAACCUUGGACUUAACAUCCCUUUCUUCCCAAAAUGUGUGUUCCCUUUCCAAGGCGAUAGUUUAAGAAAGACAUAUGAACCUACUUCAAAUUCCCUCUUCUCUCGGUGAGGAUCUGCAUACUUCUUCUACCUAUCUUGAGCUGCUACCAAUCGAGUACGUAUUAACUUUACCAUGUCCGCCAUCUGUUGUACCAUCUCAGGUCCCAACAUUCGACGUUCACCUACUUCCUCCCAACACAGUGGAGUUUUGCACUUCCUCCCAUACAACGUUUACUUUGUCCAUCCGUGUAAUACCCAGAAAAUAAUAAAAAAUAAUAAUAGCAAUAAAUAAAUAAAUAACAUUUAUUUUAAAUUAUAUUAAUUGUACUUUUCUUUUAUUUAGGUCAAAUUAGUCAUUUACUUUUGGGCUAAUAAGUAUUAAUAAAUGAUGGAUAAAUUAAAUUAAUAAAACUGGGCUUUAAACUAAGUGGGUCUAAUUUAUAAUUGUGUAAUUUUAAAAUCCUAUUAAAAUUUGGAGAGUUAAUAAAUAUAUUAAUUAAUAAAAUAUAUUUUUAAGUGAAUAAAUAAUUAAACCUAAUCUUAUUUUCAGUAUACCACCUGAGAAAGAGAAAAAGGAGAAAGCCGCCUCUUAUUCUAAUUUUGAGAAAAGUGCGUAUCAGAAUAGAAAAGGAACAUAGGUUUGUUUGUUCGUUCUUUUCCAUUUUUUCACAUCUUUGUAUAUAAAUUGUUACUAUGUGUUUAAUUUCUUUUAGUUUACAAUUAAGAAUUGAAAAGUGUACAUGGUUAAUCAUUAUGUACAUCAGGCUUUUUUUUGGUGUUUCAAUCAAGGAAAUCUAACAACUACGCAUGGUCUAAUGUUAUAUAUAUAUAUAUAUAUAUAUAUAUAUAUAUAUAUAUAUAUAUAUAUAUAUUAGAGUUACUGUUUUGUCUAAAAUAAUAAAAGGGUAAUGAUUAAAAUAUUAAUUUGAAUUUAAUUUGAAUUUGUAUCAUGAACUAAUGUAAAUUAGGAAAUAAAUUCAUGUUAUUAUAAAUUAUAUUUAUUAUUAUUUUGUUCAAUUAGUUCGAACGGAAGGAAUUUAACGAACUAUAUUGGGAUAAUAAUUUUGGGUAUUACAUUGCUUAAUCCAGGUAUAGAUUUCAUACUCCUUCAGCGAUACUCUUAUUAAAUUAAGUUUUUUCGUUUUGUUUUUGGUUUCAAAAUUAGUUAUUGUUUCCCAUAAUUAUUCAUUCUCAAAUUUAUGUGAUAGUUUCGUCUUGGUAUUGAUACUUAGGACUCGUGUUUGUACUCUUGACCUAGUGUAUCAUCUUUUGUAUUUAUUUUGAUAUUUGUAGAAAGUACAUGUUAAUAUUUUUGGAGACUUUACGUUGAUGAUUCGUUUCAGUUUAACAUGUAUAUGUUAGAACCCUUUGUGUUGAUAUUUUUUUGCAUAUGUUGUGACAUUAUAUCUUUGUUAGAAUACCGUACCACAGGCAUGUCCUCUUGGAACCGAGGCACGACACCUUCCAUGGCGGUGUGAUCAGUCCACGACGUCUCCAUUUUGUGCUCCGGUGGGAGUUUGCCAUUUGGUGUUUUGUUGUGGGAGGCGUAUGGGUCGACCCUAAUUUUCUGUUCUAUUCUGCUAUGCAGAUUGGUGAUGUUUGAGCCAAACAUGCCUUCUGAUUUUGCAUGCAUCUGGAUUGCGUAGUCCGAUGUGUGCAUGCCUGUGUGGCAUUAUUUGACUUGCCUGUGUGGCAAGGUAUAUUACUAUUUAUUUUGAACUCGGUAUGAAAUAACACCCAACCAUUUGAUUCAGCCUAUUAUUUUGUUGUGUUAGUUUUAUUCGUUUCAUUUCAGUUUGUUUCAUUUCAGUUUAAUUCAUUUAGUCGAAUUAAUUAUUUUAUUUCAUUAUUAUUUGUAUUCUAUAUCCGUACUGGGCAUUUGGCUCAUGCUGUGUUUUUCUUCCAGCAGGUAAUCAGGGGAAUCAAGGGCAAGUGCGACGAGGGCUCCCUUUUAUCCAAAUGAUUUAGAUAUAUUAUGUUUAGGUUGUGAUACAUUAGUUUGUUUGGAAUUAUAAUAAUUAUUUUAGAUUGUGUUUUGAGGCAGUUUGAUAUUUAUUAUGGUUAACUUGUAGUUUGAAUCAGAUAUUAAGACUAUUCUUUUGUUUAUUUAAGAUUUGCUAUUGAAUUCAUUAGUUUUUUGUGUUUUGUGUAACCUCUCUUUCUAUUUUGGAAAGGGGGUGUUAUAGAGUUGGUAUCAGAGCUUAGGUUCUUUCUUGUAGAAAACCUAUUUAGGUAUGACCAGUGAGUUAUGGGUAGACUUCUAGGUUAGGUUUCUAUUCCAUUUGAUUUUUGUUCAGCUAUUAUAUCAGCUAUACUCGAAUAUGUCUCUAAUCUGCUUUGUUAUCUAUUCAUUGAUCUAUUUGUUAGAUGGCCUAUAGACCCGCCAGAGUUGUUGGGAGGCGAGGCAACAAUAGGGGAAGAGGUGAGGGUCAGCCCAAUGAGCAAUCUAAUGAUCAGAUAAAUGCUAAAUUGGCUACCUUGGUGAAUCAGGCGAUGAAUCAGGCUUUACCUCAGUUGGUGGCACAGGUUGUACAGGCAAUGCAGCAGUUGCCGCCAGAAAUUCCUAAGCAGGAGAACUCGGGAAAUAAUGGUCCGCAUACAAAUAAAGUGGAAGGGAAUGCAGAUGGUUAUAAUCAGCAAGGGGUUGCGAUAUAUGUAUGGUUGGAGAGGUUCCAGAAGCAGAAACCACAGUCAUUUAGUUUUGCUCCAACACUAAUUGAUGCAGAGAAUUGGAUUGCCCACCUGGAGAAGAUUUUUAAUGUAUUGGGGUACUCAAAUAAUCAAAUAAUAUUACUUGCUUCUUACAAGCUGGAAGGGGAUGCACAGAGGUGGUGGAAGGCGAUGAAUGUAACUAAAGGUGAUGGUUAUGCCGAGGCACUUAGCUGGGAAAAGUUUUGUGAGGUCUUUCAUCAGUAGUACUUCCUAGCUGCUGAUAAAGAGGCUUAUGCUAGAGAUUAUAUUUCUAUUCGGCAGAAAGAUGAUGAGUCCAUCACGGAUUUCAUGACGAGGUUCACCACGUUGGUAGGAUUUGCAAGAACUUCUACAGGGACUGCACCGGAACAGGCGGAGAAGUUCAAGUGGCGGAUUCAUUAUAGGUAUUGGCAACAUCUCAUUAACACCAAGUUUGCAUAUGUGUCAGCAGUGGCCAAUGUUGCCAAGAAUAUUGAGAUGGAGCGACAUGACUUUUGAUCUUCUAAACCGGAGGGGAGUCAAAAGAGGGACAGAGAUGACCAGCACGGUCAAGCUUCAGUUCAACAUGGGAAGAAUUAGGGUGGUCAGUGGAACAGGAACCGUGGUGGCCAGCAGGGGCAGUGGCAUGGCCAAAAUCAAAAUAGGGGUUCUCAGCAGACGUCUCAGCAAUGGCAGAAUCGUCAGCUUCAGUUACCCUGACAUGGUCAAAAUUGUCAGCAGUGGCAGAAUCGUCAGCAGGGACAAAAUCAGGGUCGUUAUCCGGGACUAACUAGUGAGGUUAACCCAAAUCUCAUUUAUAUAGCUCCUUGUGCUACUUGUGGGGCUAAUCAUCCGGAGAAGCAGUGUCAUGGACAUAUAAUGGUGGCACGUGGAAAUGGUGGAGGUGGUGAUAAUGGUGGCAAUGGAGGUCAGCGUCAGGGUGGUUGAGUGUUUGCCUUGACAUAUAACUAGGCAGCAGGUGCACCAGGUACUGUUUCUGGCACUCUUUUAGUUGGAAACGUGAGGCAUCUAUUUUGUUCAGUCUUUUAUUCGGCAUCUGGGUGUAUCAUCUGAAUCCUUAGAUUCUGUUAUGUCUAUUGCUACCCCGAUCGGGACUUCUGCUGAUAUUUAUAAUUUGUAUCGAGGGUGUGCAAUCUAUUUUGGGGAUACGAUUCGUAGGGCUAAUCUUCUUCCGAUGUGUAUGCACGAUUUCGAUGUCAGUCUUGGGAUGGACUGGUUGGAUAAACAUCAUGCCACUAUCAAUUGUCAGGAGAAGAAGGUUAUAUUUAGAGAUGUGAAGUCUCCAGAGUUCGUGUUUCAGGCUUCACGACCAAGUAGGGUGGUGAAAUUGAUUUCAACUUUUCAGGCUGGAAAGUUAGUGGAAAAAGGUUGUGAGGGGUAUUUAGCAUUUGUGAAAGAUACUUCUAAUGAUGAGUCUCUUAUUGAGGAUGUUCCAAUUGUUCGUGACUUUCCUGAUGUGUUUCCUGAGGAGUUGUCAGGGUUGCCAUCGCAGCGGCAGGUGGAGUUUUCUACUGAUCUUGUUCUUGGUGCAGAGCCUAUCUCUAAGGCGCCGUAUCGGAUGGCACCAUUGGAGUUACAUGAGUUGAAGGAGCAGUUGUAGGAACUGUUAGAUCGUGGUAUGAUUCGAUCGAGUGUUUCCUCGUGGGGUGCUCCAGUUUUGUUUAUGAAGAAGAAGGAUUCCUUUAUGAGGCUGUGUAUAGACUACAAGGAGUUGAAUAAGAUUACCAUCAGGAAUCAGUAUCAAUUGCCGAGGAUUGAUGACUUGUUUUACCAACUUCAAGGGGCGAAGUAUUUUUCAAAGAAAUACUUGAGGUCGGGCUAUCAUCAAAUGAGGGUGAGGGAUGAGGAUAUCCCUAAGACGGCUUUUCAUACUCGCUAUGGGCAUUAUGAGUUUCUGGUGAUGCCAUUUAGGUUGACUAACGGUCCGGCAGUGUUUAUGCAUUUGAUGAAUCGAGUGUUCAGGGAGUACUUGGACCCAUUUGUUAUUGUAUUUAUUGAUGACAUUUUGGUUUACUCCAAGUCUAAAGAAGAGCAUGAGGAGCAUCUUCGCAUAGUGUUAUGGAUUUUGCAGAAAGAGAAGUUGUAUGCAAAAUUUUCUAAAUGCGAGUUUUGGUUGGAGCAGGUGGCAUUUGUGGGCAACGUUGUUUCUGCUGAAGGCAUUAAGGUGGAUCCUGCUAAGGUUGAGGCUAUCACUAAAUGGCCGAGACCUACUACGGUGACAGAGAUUAGGAGUUUCUUGGGUUUGGCAGGAUAUUAUAGGCGGUUUGUGGAAGGGUUUUCCCUGCUUGCCUUACCAUUGACUCAGUUGAUAAGAAAGGGUGCGAAGUUUGUUUGGAAUGAGGAGCACAAGAAAAGUUUUGAAGAGUUGAAGAAACGGCUUGUGACAUCUUAAUACUUACAUUGCCGUUUGGGACAAGAGGCUACCAGAUUUAUAGUGAUGCCUCUAAGAAGGGUUUGGGGUGUAUUUUAAUGCAACACGGUAAGGUGAUUGCUUAUGCUUCUAGGCAGCUUAAACCUUACGAGGUGAAUUACCCCACACAUGAUUUGGAGUUGGCAGCGGUGAUCUUUGCCUUAAAGAUUUGGAGGCAUAAUUUGUAUGGAGAGACUUAUGAUAUCUUCACCGAUCACAAAAGCCUUAAAUACAUUUUCACUCAGAAGGAGCUUAACAUGAUGCAGAGGCAUUGGUUGGAACUUUUAAAAAAUUAUGAUGCGAGGAUUCAAUAUCACACGGGGAAGGCAAAUGUGGUUGCAGAUGCUCUUAGCCUAAAGAGUUCUGGGAGUGUAGCAGCCCUUAUUACACAACCUCAGCUUAUUUUAGAUAUGGAACUUCUAGAGUUGGAGUUGUAUGUGCAAGGUUCAGAUGGGCAUUUGGCAGGUAUGAGAGUGGAGCCCUCUCUUAUCUCGCGAGUUAAAGAAGCUCAAAAGGAAGAUGGGGAGUUAUGGAGUAUGACGUGGAAUUUAGAGGAGGGCAAGCAGCCCGAGUUUUGUAUUGAUGACCAUGUUGUGAUUUGGUUGGGUGAGUGAUUGUGUGUACUGUUGGAUCCAAUCAUUCGGGAGGCUGUGUUGGCUGAGGCUCAUAGUUUUCCAUUUUUUAUUCAUCCAGAUUCUAUGAAGAUGUAUAGGGAUUUGAAGAAGAAUUUUUAAUGGAAUGGGAUGAAAUGAGACGUGGCUGAAUAUGUUGGGAAGUGCCUCACUUAUCAACAAGUGAAGAUAGAACAUCAACGAGUUAGUGGGUUGUUGCAAUAGUUAGACAUUCUAGUGUGGAAGUGGGAGGAUAUCACGAUGGACUUUGUGACUGGUUUGCCAAAGACUUUCAAGAAAAAUGAUGCCAUUUGGGUAGUGGUGGACUGGCUGACAGAAUUGACACACUUUUUGGAUAUCCAUGAGGGUUACUCGGUGGAUAGAUUGGCACAUAUCUUUCAACAGGAGAUUGUUAGACUUCAUGGUAUUCCGGUGUCUAUUGUUUCAGAUUGGGAUCCGUGGUUCACUUCACGGCUCUGGAAACGGUUUAAACGAGCUUGGGGUACUCGGCUCAACUUCAGUACUUCUUUUCAUCCGCAAACUGAUGGGCAAUCCAAAAGGACUAUUCAAAUGUUGGAGGACAUGUUGAGGUAUUGUGCACUUGAGUGGUCGAGUAAUUGGGAUGAUUACUUGAGCCUAGUUGAGUUUGCUUACAACAAUAUCUGGCAUGCAAGUACUGGAAUGUCUCUGUUUGAGGCAUUGUAUGGUAGAAAGUGUCGGGAACCGAUUUCUUGGGAUAAGGUUGGUGAAAGGGCCAUAAAAGGGCCUGAGUUAGUCCAAAUCACUACGGAGAAGGUAGCGAUAGCUAAGGAGAAAUUGAAGUCGGCUCGAUCACGACAGAAGUGUUAUGCUGAUAAGCAUAUGCGGACUUUAGAGUUUAAACCUGGUGAUCAUGUGUUUCUAAAAGUUUCUCCUUGGAAGGGAAUUCGGUGAUUUGGGUUGAAAGGGAAGCUUAGUCUGCGUUAUAUUGGCCCAUUUGAGAUUCUGAAGAGGGUUGGUGAGGUUGCAUAUCGGUUAGCUUUACCUCCAUAGCUCAUGUGCACAAUGUGUUCCACGUGUCGGUGUUGAGGAGUUAUCAUUAUCAUCCGUUGCAUGUGGUGCAAUAUCUGUUCGAUAAGAUUCCGGGGGAUCUUACGUGUGAGGAGCAAGCCGAGGCGAUUUUGGAUUGUCAAGAGCGGAUUAUAAAGAGGAAGACUAUUUAGUUUGUUAAGAUUUUGUGGAGGAACCAUUCGGAGCGAGAAGCUACUUGGGAGAUGGAGGAGUCUAUUCGAGCGGAGUAUCCACAUCUUUUUGAUAAUUAGGUACGUUCUAUUCUUUUGAUUCCGGGGAUGAAAUCCUUUUUAAGGGGUAGGUGAUGUAAUACCCAAAAAAUAAAAUAAAAUAAAAAUAAAUAAAUAAAUAAAUAACAUUUAUUUUAAAUUAUAUUAAUUGUACUUGUCUUUUAUUUAGGUCAAAUUAGUCAUUUACUUUUGGGCUAAUAAGUAUUAAUAAAUGAUGGGUAAAUUAAAUUGGUAAAAUUGGGCUUUAAACUAAGUGAGUCUAAUUUAUAAUUGUGUAAUUUUAAAAUCCUAUUAAAACAUAGAGAGUUAAUAAAUAUAUUAAUUAAUAAAAUCUAUUUUUAAGUGAAUAAAUAAUUACACCUAAUCUUAUUUUCAUUAUACAAGCUGAGAAAGAGAAAAAGGAGAACGCCGCCUCUUAUUAUAAUUUUUAGAGGAGUGCGUAUCAGAAUAGAAGAGGAACACAGGUAUGUUUGUUUGUUCUUUUCCAUUUUGUUACAUCUUUGUAUAUAAAUUGUUACAAUGUGUUUAAUUUCUUUUAGUUUACAAUUAAGAAUUGUAAAGUGUACAUGGUUGAUCAUUAUGCACAUCAGGAUUUUUUUGUUGUUGUUUCAAUCAAGGAAAUCUAACAACUACGCAUGGUCUAAUGUUAUAUAUAUAUAUAUAUAUAUAUAUAUAUAUAUAUUAGAGUUACUAUUUUGUCUAAAAUAAUAAAAGGGUAAUGAUUAAAAAAUUAAUUUUAAUUUAAUUUGACUUUGUAUCAUAAACUAAUGUAAAUUAGGAAAUAAAUUCAUGUUAUUAUAAAUUAUAGUUAUUAUGUAACUUAUAUUUAUUAUUAUUUUGAUCAAUUAGUUCGAACGGAAGGAAUUUAACAAACUAUAUUGGGAUAAUAAUUUUGGGUAUUACAUUGCUUAAUCCAGGUACGAAUUUCGUAUUCCUUCAGCGGUACUCUUAUUAAAUUAAGUUUGUUCGUUUUGUUUCUUGUUUCGAAAUUAGUUAUUGUUUCCCAUAAUUAUUAAUUCUCAAAUUCAUAUUAUAGUUUCAUCUUGGUAUUGAUACUUAGGACUCGUGUUUGUACUCUUGACCUAAUGUAUCAUCUUCUGUAUUUAUUUUGAUAUUUGGAGACUUUGCGUUGACGAUUCGUUUCAGUUUAACAUGUACAUGUUAGAACCCUUUGUGUUGAUAUUUUGUCGCAUGUGUUGUGAUAUUAUAUCUAUGUUAGAAUACAGUAGGGUAUACCUGAGCUAUAACCACAUGUGGGGGUACCACAGGUAUGUCCUCUUGCCACCGAGGCAUGACACCUUCCGUGGCUGUGUGAUCAGUCCACGACGUCUCCAUUUUGUGCUCCGGUGGGAGUUGGCCAUUUGGGGUUUUGUUGUGGGAGGCGUAUGGGUCGAUCCUAGUUUUAUGUUAUGUUCUGUUCUGCGGAUUCGUGAUAUUUGUGCCAAAUACGCCUUCCAAUUUUGCAUGCAUCUGGAUUGCGCAGUCCAAUGUGUGCAUGCAUGUGUGGCAUUAUGUUAAUUGUCUAUGUGGCAUUAUUUGACUUGCCUGUGUGGCAAGGUAUAUUACUAUUUAUUUUGAGCUCAGUAUGAAAUAACACCCAACCAUUUGAUUCAGCCUAUUAUUUUGUUAUGUUAGUUUUAUUCGUUUCGUUUCAUUUCAGUUCAGUUCAUUUAGUUGAAUUAAUUAUUUCAUUUCAUUAUUAUUUGUAUUCUAUAUCUGUACUGGGCAUUUGGCUCAUGCUGUAUUUUUUUUAUAUCAGGUAAAUAGGGGAAUCAAGGCAAGUGUGAUGAGAGCUCCCUUUUAUCCAAAUGAUUUAGAUAUAUUAUGUUUAGGUUGUGAUACAUUAGUUUGUUCGAAAUUAUAAUAAUUAUUUUAGAUUGUAUUUUGAGGUAGUUUGAUAUUUAUUAUGGUUGACUUUUGGUUUUAAUCAGAUAUUAAGACUAUUCCUUUGUUUCUUUGAGCUUUACUAUUGAAUUCAUUAGUUUUGGUGUGUUUUGUGUAACCUCUCUUUCUAUUUCGGAAAGGGGGUGUUAGAAUCCAUUUGAGGAUGAUACGUCAUACUCAUUCUCAACUGCUUUCCCAUUUGCUCUUGCAAACUCCUCUAAAAGAUCGAUGGGAAUCGUGGAUCACGAUCUGACACAGUCGACACAGAUACUCCAUGUCUUGAAAUAAUUUCUUUGACGUAUAAUUUAGCUAAUUGUUCUAGGUUAUACCUAACUCCUAUUGGUAGAAAGUGAGCUGAUUUCAUCCACUGAUCCACUAUUAACCAAAUAGCAUCGUAUCCUUUCCUUGUUGUUGGAAGUCCCACCACAAAUUCCAUUGUGAUAUGCUCCCAUUUCCACUCUGGAAUUUCUAAUGAUUGCAAAAACCCACUAGGUCAUUGGUGUUUGGCCUUAACUUUAUGACAAGUUAAGCACUUACUAACAUAUUUUGCUAUCUCCCUUUUUAUGUUUGGCCACCAAAGGUUCUGUUGAAGGUCUUGAUACAUCAUAGUAAAACCUGGAUGUUUCGAGUACCAUGAACUUUGGGCCUCACUCAUUAUCUCUUCUUUUAACUCAGGAUUAUUUGGAACCCAAAUUCUUCCUUCAAAACGAAGCAAUCCCUCAUUGUCGAGGUUAUACUUAGUCUUCUCUUCAUCUUCCAUCCUCUUCUUCAUUCAUUCGCAUUCCUCGUUGCUUAAUUACACUUCCUUAACCCGUUCCACUAUGGUCAGUUGAGUCUCCAUUGAGAAUAACAUCUCCAUCAUUUCAUUCGGUAAUUUACCUUCUAACUCCAUUCUCGCCAUCUCUGUUACUAACUUAUUCUGAGUCAUUAACAUUGACAACUUUUCUCUACCCUUUCUACUUAGCGCAUCGGCUACAACAUUUGUUUUCCCCGAAUGAUAUAAGAAAUCACAAUCGUAAUCGUUUAUCAACUCAAACCACCUUCUAACACUUUUCCCCGUAUAAAUAAUGUCAACAUAUUUUUAACUGACGUGAUGCAUACGCAAUGACCUUACCAUGCUGCAUGAGCACGCAACCCAGUCCUCUAUGUGAAGCAUCGUUAUAAACUACAAAAAUAUCCCGUAUCAUCUGGAGAAGACAAUACGGGUACCUCACUUAACCUCCUUUUUAGUUCCUAAAAACUAUUCUAACACUUUUCCGUCCACAUAUACUUUACUGACUUCCUCGUUAAAUUUGUCAACGGAGUAGCUAUUUUAGAAAAGUCUUGGAUAAACCUUCCAUAGUAUCCCGCUAAACCCAGAAAACUCUGAACCUCGGUUGGCAUUUUCGGUUGCUCCAUCUCAUUAACUACUUCUACCUUCACUUGAUCCACGGAAAUGCCAUCUUUAUCAAUAACAUAUCCUAAAAACUGCACUCGUUCAAGGUAAAAUUCAUACUUGGUGAAUUCCGCAUACAACUUCUCCUUCCUUAGUGUUUCCAACACUAUCCUUAAAUGUUAAGCAUGAUCUUCUGGCGUCUUAAAAUAGACUAGAAUAUCAUCGCUGAACACUACAAAAACUUGUCUAAAUAUUGUUUGAACACUCUAUUCAUCAUGUCCAUGAAUGUGCCUGACGCAUUACUCAACCCAAACGACAUAACUAGAAACUCGUAAUGACAAUAACGAGUCCUGAACGCUGUCUUAGGUACAUCCUCCUUCCUUACUUUUAACUAAUGAUACCCCGUACGCAAAUCUAUCUUAAAAAAAUACUUUUUCCCUUUCAACUGAUCAAAUAGAUCAUCGAUCCUGGGAAGUGGGUAUUUAUUCUUAAUCGUUAACUUGUUCAACUCUCGAUAGUCGAUACAAAGUCUUAACGACCCAUCCUUCUUCUUUACAAAUAAUACCGGUGCUCCCCGAGGAGACACAAUCGGUUGAAUGUACUUCCUAUCUAAUAGUUCCUGUAGUUGAACCAUUAACUCCUUCAUCUCUACUGGCGCCAUCCUAUAUGGUGCCUUUGAAACUGGUGUUAUACCCGGUAACAGAUCAAUCACAAACUCAAUCUCCCUAUCCGGGGGAAGACCCGGUAAUUCAUUCAGAAAUACAUUCGCAAACUAUUGAACUAUAGCUAUAUGUUCCAAUGAUGCUCCUACUCUUUGGGUAUCUAUAACAUGGAACAGAUAUCCUAUACACCCCUUCCUUAACAUUUUUGUAGCUUGUGUCAUCGUUAGACAACAAGAACAUCUCAGUGAUUUACUACCGAAGAACUCUACCUUGGUUUUCUUAGAAAGCUGAAGGUUCACACUUUUCCUAUGACAAUCUAUUAUAGCCUUAUGGUUAAUCAACCAAUCCAUACCAAGAAUUACAUCGAAUUCUUUCAACCUUAUCGGUACCAAAUCUACCGAUAACUUAUUACCUAUAAUAUCUACGCAACAAUUCCUAUAAAUAUGUUUAAUGGGAAUUAUCUCUUUGUUUGCUACCUUAACGUCUAAAGGUAAUUCUAACUUUUCAGGGAUUAAACCUAAUUGCUUAACAAAUUUACAUGCUAUAAAAGAAUAAGUAGCACCUGAGUCAAAUAACACAUAAGCAUUUAUUUCAUUAACUAGAAUGAUACCUGCUACUACAUCCGCUGAGGCAACUGCAUCUUGGACAGUCGUAUUAAAGGUACGGGCUGAGGGUUUACCCGCCGAUGGUGUUGGUCCAAUAAUGCCUAACUUACCACUACCAGAACCCUUAUUACCCUCUGACCCCUUAUUCGGGCAAUUUCUUGCCAUGUGGUCCAUCGACCCACAUAAAAAACAACCAUGAUUUUUCUUAGGAUUAAGAUAGUUGGGUGACACAUGUCCCUCUUGCCCACAGUUAUAACAAACAAAUUUUCCCUUCAGGCAGACUCCUAGAUGAGUCUUUCUGCAUGUCUUGAAUGCCUCCAUCCUACGUUUAGGAUCCCCUUUUUUCACCCCAGUAUUCCUGGAGUUAAAACUCUUCCUUUUUGGCAUACUACCACUACCACUGGCACUCUAUGCCUUGGUUCCUCCCUCUCCCUUACUCUUAUUCUUUCUUUCUUUGUGGUAUUGAGUCAACGCCUCACUACCACCUUCUGCUAUAAUCACCUUUUCCAGAAUUGUCCAAUAGGAAGAACUCUAGAACACAAAAAUCCUACUAUAGAGCCAGGGUUUCAGGCCCUGCUCAAACCUACGAGCCUUCCUCUCUUCAGUGUCCACUUAGUGUGGAGAAAACCUUGGCAAUUCAUUGAAUUUUGCCGCAUAUUGGGGAACCAUCAUGUGUAACACCCCCAAAUCCAGGUUACCUAACCCCCGAAUUUGGUGUUCACGAUCCACAAUAUAAUACCAUCUCACUACCCAUUCAAAUAUAAAUAGGAAUACAUAACUCAUUAACAUAUGUUGUUAAUACAUAAGUCCUAAGUCUGCUAACCUUAACAUUACAAAUAUACCCCUUAGAUAUACAAAAAGGGUUUACAAUACAACAUAAUCAUAAUAAUGUUCAUUAUACUAAUUUAUCACGAUGCCUUUUCCUUUAUUCUUCACUACACCUUCUGCCACUUCGUCCCUAGCUGAAAAGUUUUAUUUAGCAAGGGUGAGCAACAAGUUUGCCCCGCAAGUUAAGAUAUACGAUAAAUGUAUAGGAAUAAAUAACAAGUCUUCUCACAUUCAACGCAACAAUAAUCUGGUAAUGAAAGAGUAGAAUGCUUUCAAGGUUUUCUACGAUAUUCAAAUGAAUAAUCAAAAAUUAAUUCUAUGAAAUAGCAAAGUGGAAUGUUUUCCAGAUUUAUGCUGAGCGAUCCAUUGGAUCUUGAACUUCUCUUCUCGAGUAACUAUCAAAGAUUUGACUUUGAUAUACCCAGGUGUAUCAGAUAAUCAUAAAGAUUAAAUUAUACCCCUCUGCAAGUUUAUAAAGUGAUCAGCUUUAUUAUACCUUAUACUAUGCAUAAUACUUAAUCGCGCGCAAAGGCCGAAUAUACGACCAAUAAAAUAUUCCCUUUAUAUAAAAGGUUGUUCUUCUCAGUCUCAGAAUCAAGAUUUUGAUUAAACAACAAAAUAUUGUGAUUUCAAUUUCUAAUUACUUCUUGAUCUAGCCGAAAUAAUUGGCAUCGAUCUGGCAAUAAUAAUUGAAUUCUCUUCUCGAACCUAUCAAGUUCUAACAAAUGUUCGUCUAGCCAGAAUAAUUGGGUAAGACAUUUCUCAACAUAAUUCGACAAUAAAUAGGAAUUAUCUGUAGUGUCAAUACUAGAUUCUAUGGAUAUUAAUAUCCAACAACAGUUGUUCUACGAAUGUAUAUUUUUCUGAAUCAGUAAUUCAAUUUGAAUUAUUAAACAUGCACUAACUACGAAUAAUCAACAAUAAAUUCUUGGACGUGGCAUAAUUAAAAAUAAUUAACCACCAUAAUAAUUAAACAAUAUUAACUCAAGGUUGAGUUAGGAAACUUGCCUCUUCCGCUGACUACAGCUACAGAAUAAAUUUAUCUACUUUUGAAAGACCUAUAACCAAUAAUAUCGGUCUCACAAUUAGUACAAUAUUUCGUAACACAUUACACUAUAACUUAUAGUCAAUUUUCUCCUAGACACAUUACCACAGUCACAACAGUAUUUAUAACCUAUAUAAAUACUUAUCAAGUCUAACUAGUUCAGUCUGGUUGGACUUUGGUCUAUUUUCGGUGUUCUGGUCACCCUAUCCGACAAUUAACACAGUUAUUGUCAAGUAAAUUCAGUUUCUAAGCUUCAAUAUUAUUUUAUAUAAGUCAAAUAUCAUUAAUAAUAUUUUUCGAAAGCUUUUAAUAAUUUAUAAGCAAUUAUUAUAAUUUAUAAUAAUUUUUCAAACAUCAGAAUCAUUUUUAAAUGAUAUAAUUAUCAAAUAAUCUUAUCAUCAUUCAUAUUUAAUAAUAUUACAAUAUUAAUGACAUACUUGUCAAAAUAUUAAAGUUAUUAUCAAUAACUUAAAAUAUUUUUAAAUCAACAAUAUUCCACUUAAACGAUUUUUAAAAUAAUAAAAUUCAUUUUUAAAUCAUUACCAUUAAUAUUUAAAUAUUAAUGAAAUUAUCAUCCAAAUAUUAAAAGUCAUUAAUUAUAACUUAAAAUAUUUUUAAAUGAUUUUUAAAUCAAUAAAAACAUUUUUAAUUCAUUUAUUUAAUAUAAUAAUUAAAUAAAUCUAAUAUAAUUAAUAUUAAUUUAUUAAUGAGAAUUCUCUGAAAAUAUUGAAAAUUAUAUUUUAUAAUUCAAAUUAUUUUCUAACACUUUAUUCUCAUUUUAAAUGAUUUUUUAAUCAAUAAAAUCAUUUUUCAUUUAUUUAUUUAAUUUAAUAAUUAAAUAAAUCUGAUAUCAUUAAUAUUAAAUUAAUAAUGAAAAUUCUCUAAAAAUAUUAAAAGUUACCUUUUAUAACUCAAAAUAUUUUUAAAUGCUUUAUUCUUAUUUAAAAUAAUUUUUCAUAAUAUUAAAUCAUUUUUCUCUAAUUUAUUUAAUAUACUAAUUAAAUAAAUUAAAUAUCAUUUUUAUUCAAAUAAUUAAUAUUAUUAAUGAAAAAAAUUCCAAAUUCUCAAAAAUUAUUUUUCAUGAUUUCAAAUAAUUUUUAAAACCAUUUUUAGUAAUUUUAUAAUUUAUUUCUAUUUUUUAAUAAUUUUUGGAAAAUCAAAAAAUAAAAACUAAUUAAACCGUCGUUAUAGGCCUUUAGCGACACAAAGCAUCGGUGUUGGUGUUCUUGAGCUCAAAAACACUGACAGCCCCAUGUUCAAGGCUACUACUUUGACCACGCUUAAUCUUUUGCCUAUUUUGUUUUUGGGCUUGAUUCUGCAUCAAUUUUAUAGUAGGUAUGUAACACUACCAAUAACAACCAACCUCUUGCUCAAACAAUAACUUAAAUGCAAGAUCUGAGCUUUUAAACUUGCUGUCAGAGACCAUCUGGAUUUUCUGGGUAACCUAGAAACCCAAACAGUGUCGACUAGUCACUUUCUAGUACAAUUAAUCUGGUAUUCUGGUCAACAAAAUGGUGUGUUCUUGGUUCAAACCUGUUGUUCGCAUGACAAGGAACAUCUACAUAACAUAAUAUCAGUCCAACUACAUCAUGGUUGUAAAAUUCAACCCAGUCAAACAUGGUUAGAAAUCAUGUUCAUACACUUUCUAGAAAUUCUAGAAAAGUGUUCACGUGAUCAGAUGGUAUAGUUUGACCAGCCACUACAUCAAUCCUGUUGAUGGUUUAUAUGAUCUAAAACCAUGGAUCUAUAGUCCAAUUAAUAGGCUACAAUAUGAUUACCAUAACAUUAACAUAACACUUAAACACUGACAGAUCAAAGCUUCCCAAAACACUGUCACACGUUGUUUACACUUUCUGGGUUGCCUAGAUUUAUACUCGAGCAUGGUCGGUCAACCGACUUUGACAGAUUAUAACUUGCAAUCUAGACAUUAAACAACUACGAUUUCACUUCUAGAUCAGCCAACAUGAUAAAUAAUAUAUUAAAGCUUUAAAACAACAAAAAGCACAAAUGAACAAGAAUGUAUGGACUCUGACUUUUGCUUAUCAGACCAAAAAUUUGUUCUUGGGCACGUUUUGAAAAACACCAUUUUAAAGCCAUUUGAUGCUAUGGAUCCAUCAUGGAUCAACAUAGAUCAUCUAAAAACAUCUUAUAACACAAAUUUAAACACUUAAACAGAAAAAUUUUCAUAGCAUACAAGAUCUAGUUUGAGAUAGGGUUUAUACCUUUUCUAGUCCAAGCUUUGAUCUAGAUCUCCUCAACUAAUUUUUGGUGUUCUAGUAAUUGAUUAUAUGACUGAGAGACUUAAAGAAUUCGGAGGUUUGAAGAAAGAAAAAGUUGGUGAGAGCUUGGGUGCAAAAUAAGUAAAAUGCUAGACUUACUCUCUCUCAAAACUAUAUAUAUUGUGAUAUGUUGCUAGAUCUGAUAUAAAGAGCUGAUAUUGCUGGAGAUUUCAUGCCACAAAGUCAAUUGAGUUGGUCACCUACUACAAAUAUACAAAGAUUUGCAAGUUACAUAUUAAAAUAUACUAAAAGGGCAUUUUGGUCUUUUUCCUUCCAAUUUUAAUGGCAUACAUGGAAUUUACCAAACCCUUAGGGUUUAACCCUAAGGUUCUAACCCUUAGGUUUUACAACACUAACUCUCUAGGAUUUUCUAAUUAGGGUUUUUAAAUUAGAAAAUUAAAAGUUUAAAACUAAAAUUAGGGUUUCCUAAUUAAAUUAGGUUUUUCCUAAUCACAUCAACGUUUAAUAAACACAUUAAGAUUAUCAAUUAGGAUUAGGGUUUCCUAAUUAGGGUUUAGGAUUCUCGGAUAUGAAUUUAGGGUUUCCCAACUUUUGAUUAAGGUUUUUAGCUGCGUGUUAGGGUUUUUAAUCUCUUAUUAGGGUUUAUUAGUUUUAAACCUUAUCUGAUCAAUCAUUAAUCAACAUUCCUAUACAGUACAAAGAUGUAUUCAUCGAUACAAUUAUUUUAAUUGCAUUUUCUACCGAAUCCCUAUCCAGAAAUUAGGGUUAGGGUUUUCUAAAGCUGUUAAGCAAAACUCUACUCUAAUUUCUCAGUCAAUACACAGAUUGACUAAUUCUCAAGACUCAUAUCACAGAUACACAGUACAAUAUUAACAGUCAAUAUUAAAUAAAUAAAUAAAAAUUAUUCGUAAAAUUUGGAUUAUUCAAAAUCUCGGGUUAUUACAUCAUGUCCCCUUGCUUAAGUUCUAGGAACUUAAUCUCCAUAAUCCCCUCCAUGCUAGUAGGAAAGUAGUUCUUGAAGAAUAACUUCUUGAACUGUUCCCACGUAACCGCAUCAGUUCUAGCUCCACCUUGGUGAGCCUCCCACCAAAAGUUGGCUUCCCCUUUCAUCAUAUAAGUCGCAAAAGUAGUCUUUUGCGCCUCAGCUAUGUUUGUGAUAACAAACACCUUCUCUAUUUCUUUCACCCAUGUAUGGACCUCUAUUGGGUCCGACGUUCCGUUGAACUCCGGCGGACCAACGAUUUCAAACUCUUUAAAGGUAGUCCUUCUGGCUACCCUAGGUCUCACGGGUGCUCUACCCCCGUUUUGGUUAAAUGCAGCCGUUAAUAAAUUAACGAACUCUUGCAUAGUAUAAUUUUGACCCCCUUGAUUAUCGUUAUGUGAUUCCACUUCUUGAUUAUAUUGUCUUCUUCUUGGCAGCAUUAUUCUAAUUAAAUAAAUAAAGUUUCAUUAUUAUCUAUUUACUUACUUAGUUACCAUUCCACAAUAAUAACUCAUACCACAACAAGAACAUUUAAUAAAAACUUCAUUAUAUUAAUAUGCUUCUUUAUAGUCAAAACUAUUUACAAUUUGCUUCCAUAGCCAAAAGCUAUUACAUUACUAUCCCGCGAUUGACUUCUAUAAAAAUUGGGAUUUAAAAAAAGACUACCCUUUAAUUAUACAAAAGAGGGUUUUACGUCACUACACAUAUACAAAAGAUCUACCGAUCUACUAACACUGCCUCACGACAUUCUCAUGCUUUUGAGUCACUGGAAUCGAAACAAUAUCCCGACUAAUAGUAUGUCGAGUCUGCCCCGACUCAAUGGAAUAACAAGCAAUUUUCAGCUUGAAAUCCUCAUGAACAUUGUUAUAGAUUUAGGACAUCCGUGCUAUCUUCUGGUCUUUCUCAACCAAUUUCUUACGAAGUUCUACAGCCUCAUUCUUAUAAUCCCUAGCCUUAUCUGUCAUAAGCACCUUCUCAUCGUGCUCUAACUCAAAAUCUGCUUCUUCAGACUCCUUUGCUUCACAAAGAACACUAAUCUCUUCAUUCUAGUUCUGCACAACUGUACGCAAUUACGCAUUCCGAUCAAGCACUGCCAGAUACAAUGGUCUCAUUGCAUCUGGAGGUGUUGACUCUUGUGUUGGUACCACCGUAUUAAUCGAUGUUACCUCCAUAUCCUCCUCCACAUCAAUCAUCAUAUCAAGGUAUGAUGAUAAAUCCAUAUCUUCGUCGGAGUAGUCCUCCUCAGAAAAUACUCCUCUGUCUCCGACUCUUCUAAAAUCUCUAAUGGAAACUCCACCACUGGCAUAGGUACAGGCUCUACUCUGUUCACAGACUCUUCGUUCACCACGUGUACAUCUCUAUACAUCAAGUUGUCGAUCGACAUCUACAAUAACACAUAACAUGUUGAUUAAUACAUAAUACACAAUAAUAUCAGCACAAAUCAUAUUUAAUUUAUUCAGGGUUAAUUUCCAUGUUUUAAAUCUUUCGCUGAGUUUGCUCAAUACCUUAUUAACUCAUUCGACUCGAGUUUAAUUCCUUCGGACAUUUUCCUUCCCUAACGAGGUUAUUAGCCUAAGGUUCUUCCUCCCUUAUGUUUUAUGACCUAAUGCUUUAAUACCAACAUGACGCCCCCAAAUUCGGGUAUCUUUCAACCCGACAGAUGGUGCUACACGAUACUUAUAAUCAUACAUUCAUUCCAUUGAAAUAACAACACAAUGAGUGUAUUAACAACAUUCAUAAUAAAUCCUUUCCCUAGUUUAUAAACCGAAUACAUUAUUCGUUGUUCAUAUGUAUAAUACAUACAAACAUACGAGUCUAUUACAUGAUAACUAACUAUCCAUCUUAGCCUUGCCUUUAUCUUUCUUAGAACUCUCAGUUCAUUUGGCCUUAGUUGUAAUCAUAUAAUUCAAGCAAGAAGUGAGCAUAACUAUCUCAACAAGUCUAACAAAGGAUAAUAUAAAUACAACGUCAAGAAUUAUAUGAUUAACUUCCAUAACUGAACAAAUAGCUAUGAAGUACUAUGAAACAUUGACUAGCACUUCUCAUUUCAUAACAACAAUUCCAAAGUAUAUAUAAUAGCUUAGGAAUUCUGAACCGGUCGAAAGACCAUGAACAUACUCUUUUCGUUUUUAUACAUGAAAAGGACAUCUCGGCACUAAGUCCGUACAUUCGAUAUUUCUUACGAGCACUUCUAGGUGAUCAGCCUAUAGUACUCUAUGUUGAUCAGCACUCAUCCAUUAAACGUAUUUACGUUUAAGUUUUGGCAACCUUAUAUGCCCAUCGAAUAAUCGAUGAAAAAUACAUUUGUGUGUUCAUAAACAAACUUACUUUGACUCCGUACCAAAUAAUUGGCAUAGGAUAACGUUAACAGUUCUAUAUCGAAAGACUUUUAAACAAAUUAAUCUAACUCUUAAGAAUAAUCUAGUCGAGUUAAAACUGGCAUUGACCCUUUCGUAAAACAAUUCAUGCAUAUCAAAACAUGAAUCACAGAAAAUUUGGCUAACACGAAGGCUAGACAAGCGUUAAAAAAACUUUCCUUCAAGCGUCUUUGAAUAUAAUAUUCAACAGUUCUCAAUCUUUACAGAAUCUAAUUGAUAUAUUAAAAUAGCACACUAUAAUUAGCUACCUAACAAUCUAAUCACAUUGUUAUUACCAACUUCUUUCUCUUUUAUGUCUUAAAGGAAUUUAUUUCAUUAAUAAAUGUCAAUUCGACUUACUAUCCUUCAUUAUAGAUUGUUAACAUUCUUACGUUACUAAUCGAGACUUGUUCGUCAUCGGUUAGGUAUACUUAUCAAAUAACGUUCACGGUUUACUUACUUACACUUCGCGUUCUCCGUUUAAUUACUAUUUACCAUGUAUAUUAAGUACAUACAUGUUCUACUAUUCGUUUCCAAUCAAUUAGGAUUACAAACCUAACUUUUCUAUCAAAAUCUUACUGCCGGCGCUGCGGUGCCAGACACUAGCACACCACUGGCGUUGCGGCGCGAGUGAGCAGUUGCUAAAGUCCAGUCUCGGCACUGCGGCGCGAGAUCUAAGCAUACUAGUGGCACUGCAGCGCCACUCUUCUGUAACUAAUUCCUCUAUACCCGGCGCUGCGGUGCAGAGUUUAGUACUGGGGUUGGCACUGCGGCGCCUCCCCUGAGCCUCAGAUGGUUUUGUUAGUUUGAUUUUUUUACAAAAUUUCUGGCCUCAUAACUUAAUCGUUUUACAUCCAAAUUGGCUCAUUCAAAAGCCAUUAGCUCCUAAAUCACAUACGUUAUGAUUCCAUUAGAAAAUAUUUCAUUUUUGAAUUUUUUAACACGGAAUUCAUUGAUUAGUUCAUUAUCGAGCAUUCAUUUAUCGUUCGUGAGUGUUCAUAGCUCGUUUUCUUUGUUCAAAGUCGGAAUUCGAUAAUUCUUGAGUCCAUGACUCUUGAAUACCUUAUCUCAUAUGAUGCCACUGAAAACAAAAAUUUCCAAGCCACAUGACAACUUUUGACUACUAAUCUGAGGUUUCUAAGUUUUUAAUGUUUAACGCCGAAUCUCGAAAAUUUCGCCAUAACUUCGUUACUCGUGUUCUCUACGCCAAAUCAAAUGGAACAACUCCAUUUAUUCAUCAUCUACAUCCUAACCAAGCAAUAUGAACAUACCCUAACAAUGCUGGUUUUCAAUUUGUCCAUCAACAACCAAGUUAACGUUCAAAGGUUUCUUCAGUUUAAACUUAGGUAACUACUUAUGAUUUUUACUUAAACAUGAUUUAUCAAUGUUUUAAUCCUUAAUAGCCAUCCUUAAUCCUCCAGAAGAGACAUGCUCCACCAAUCUAUGAUUCUCUAUGAAAAAAUAAAUCAAAAAGAUCAAAGACUAAUGAUUUACGAAUUAUUACCUUUUUAUUCUUCAUGUUCUUACUAAAAACUCUUAUGCUUUGCUUCAAGGUAGCUUGAUUACUUGUUUCUAGCUCUUUCUCUCUCUUAAUAUAUGUUGGCUAAUGUUUGUAAAAUAACAAAUGACCAACUAAAGCUUCUUUAUUUAGGAAAUUCAAAUGGAGGGCAAAAUGGUCAUCCUACCCAACCUCCUUUCUAUUUAUGGCUUAGCCACCAAGUAACCACUUUAUGGUCCAUGGGUCUCCCCAAUGGGUUGCCCCAUGGGUUUUACCCAUCUGGUGACCUGUCAGUUCGAUCAACGAUUCAGUUUCUUGGAUCGGGCUUGAUUGAACCUAACAUUGGGCCUAAAUUUGAGCUUGAAUACAACAUUCAUUCGGCUUGAUAUAAUCCAAGUCCAAUUGGAUUCUACAAAGUCCUUAAACUCAAAGUCCAUUAAGACUAAUCGUAUUCUACGCAUUUAAUUAUCGUAUUCUUUUCGUUUAGUAUUCAUAUGAUAUUCGUAUUAUACGUCAUAAUAUUCUUCAUAUUAAACUAGUAUACUAACUAGUACCAUACUUGUAUAUCACACGUAUAAUAACCCUAAUCAUUAUACGCACUUCAUUUCCUUCUUGAAAAUCACUUUUCCUAAACCUUAGGUUUUAAGUCCGCAGGCGAAAACUUCGUUUGCCAUAACUAAAAUAUUAUUGGAUAUUCCAUUUCGUCUUCGUAUUCUAUCAUUACGCAUUUCUUGGAAAUUCAAAGAUAAUUCUCGAGCAGAAAUAGAUGAAUAGUAUUUUUACAGAAAUUUCUCAGAAAACUUUUAUUUUCGUCUUGGAAAUUCAAAAUAAUUAAUUCUUGCCAGAAUCCUAACCACAUCCGCACAUUCUAGGUCAUAGAACGACCUUCAUAUAACUUACUCACAUAAAUAAUCAAUUAAAAUUAUUUAAUCCACAUAAUCAAAUAAAAAUUUAAUUAAUUUAAAAAUCUGAUUUUCUCGGGCAUUACAAUGACACAGGCCAAUAACGCUUGGCAGGAGGCUAGAUCGGUACACGAAUCCCCCCUGUGGUGAUCCUAAUAGCACACUCUCCUAAAUAGAGCUCCCAUCCUCCAUCUGUGAAGAGAGGAAUCCUACGGGUGGAUAUCACGUACUCGACACCAGUCGGGUACCCAUCCUCAAACCCAACAGUCAAAUGCUCCCCGGAAUAGGGGAUCCAAGUGAUAGCAUCAAAUGUCAACAACUCUUACUAUAGACGACAAUGGGUGAAACCCUCAGCUACAGGAACCUCCGCCAGUAUGGAUUGAUUCCACCGCCGUCCUCGUGGAUAGGUAUUUAAACCUAACACACUCAUAGGACGCAAACAUGAUAGCCUCUCAUAGGCCCAAAAUUACCAACACGAAGGCAAACAUCUGCUUUCAUUCAACACUCUUAACUUGUACAUGUGAAAUCAAAAGAGAAAUAUUCACCAGCAUAAAUGGGUAAAAUCCCAACCAAGCCUCUGUCAAGCCCUGCAAACGUAUGCGCAUGCCCCUAAGGAAAUAGGCGAAGGUGUAGGAUCCCCAAUCAUACUCUCCAAUAUGGUCCACAUCCCGUGUGGCGCUAACUAAAGCGAAUGAUACUGUGGAAGAGUUAUCCGCUAUGAAGCAACCCCUAAUGAUUAUCAGGAACAAUCGCCGAAGAAUGCAAUCCCUGACUCUCACAUCAUCGGGUAUGGGCCCACUCAACAGCCCGCUCAUAGCAUCUACGCUCAAAUGACCUGUACGGAUUGUUCUUCCCUUGAGCGCCUCAGCCGGGACUCCUAGCAAGGAUCUAACGGCAGUCGGGGUAAUAUCCAUCGUACAAAGCACUUACGCCCCUCCAAACUCCAUACCGGUGAUAAAUCGCUAAUCCAUCGGCGUCAUCAUCACCUCAUAAUCUAACAAAUAGAUUCUGGUGAAACCAACGCUCAGACAAUGCUCUGAGAUAACCCCAAGGACAACGAUGGGGGAGAAUGGAAAAGAAUGCCUUGAAGCCUCAACCAUGCACAAUCGCUCGAUAAUCGGGAUGCCGGUCCUGAUAUGUAGAGUGAAUGUUGAACCAGUUCCCUCGAGGCUACGUAAAGCCGGGAACCUACAUCACAAAGCAAAUCAACAUCAAAAUCCUUGCUCCUCAUCAAUGCGAAAAAGGAAGAUCAAAUCCAGCUUGUACCUCGUUUGUAUGCAAGUAAACCGAGGGGUGUCGACUCAAAUCACCUAGAAGCUCUUGGAUCAUUACUUGAAUGCCUGGAAGAUCCCUACGGGGAACAUGAGCAGCAGGAGUGGGGUCCGUAAUAGGUACAUUCCCCUCCUUGUCCUCGACAUCCGAUACCUCAACCCGGACAGAACGUAUCACCGCCUCCGCCAAACGUCGAGGUUGUCUAAUUGAAUGGGGUCAAGGAAAAUUAGAUGCCCUCCUCCGCACACCUGAAGUGGUCAUAUGGGAACUACUUGGCUGAUAAACUCUAACCUGCGGGAACUACUCGACUGAUUUGGACAGAAGUCUCCAAAUCACCUCAGAAAGGGUGUGGUAAACUCUAACUUGGAGCUUUUCAAAAUGCAUUUUAUGACUAUAUGCAUGCAUUACUUUAACAUACGCCUACAGUAGAGUUAAAAAUGCAUGACUAUCCAAUACCUACAUUUUGGAAAUUUUUAGCCAUAGUCUCCUUUGUAAACAGGACUGACUAUCCAUAUGCACAUAGGCAUGACUAGGUGGCCAUUCAGUAGCACACCUACCCAAAGUCAUAAACAUCAUAUGUGCAUAACACUAUCAAAGUCAUAAUCCAUAAGGGUAGCCUAAUUACCAGGAUUACUUUACUUUACCACCUUGGCUCAUUUAUCCUUAAAUAGGAUAAGAAAUAGCAGAAAAAGGGUGCCAAUUUGACUGUGUCAAAAGUCAAAUUAUUUUUACAUCAUUAUGUUUAACAUCAUUAAAUACUAACAUUUACUAUGUUGAAUAUUUUUAUCAAGUCAUAUGAGCAUGUUUACUCACUACUAUGUGUUUAGAAGCAUUUCAUGUGAUAACUCAUUUUCCAAUGGAUAAAAACUAGAAAAGAAGACAUGCAUACGUUACCAGGACAGUGUAGAAUACUUUUACAUUGACAUAAUUUGCAGAAAGACGCCUAAACUUAGCAGAUCUGAAGAAGAGCUCUCGGAUUCUCUUUGUGGCACAACUUGUAAAUGAAUUAUGAAAGCAACAGGCCACUUAAGGCCACCCACGGUUGGCCGCAAGUGUACCUGCGGCUCCCCUAGGUGCGGCCCACCCUUAUGGCUCGGUCCAAUAUGAGUUGCAAAGGAGGUCUCACAAGUUGAAAAAGUCAAAUCAUGAAAAAAGAUGCUACGCGAUUGAGCGGAAAAACCUGAAAUCCUGAUUUUCAGAGUCCAAACUGUGGGUCUACAUAUCAUUCAUUUGUAUUUGCCCAGACAUAGGGUUUACUAUACUGAUUAUCACGAAGGUCUUAUGCCAUCAGUUCGGGGUCGUAACUCCAUAACAUUUCCCUCAACGGGGAUUUUAUACAACUCAUCCGUUGAUGCACACGUCAAUGAAGGUUAAGUAACCUUGACGACAUUCAGCCACUGGCAGGUAAAUCCGACGAAGCAUCGGAAACCAUUUGAUGAUCUCAUUAAUUAAUGCACACGUCAUCAAAGGUUAAGUAGCCUUGACAUCAUCCGCAACAAGGAUCUCAUCCGUUGAUGUACAUUUCAGCGAAGGUCAGGCAGCCCUGACAACAUAAACUAUUGGCAGUAACUUCGACAGAGCAUUAGAAGGAAUUGUCGACACAAACCACGAAGAACCAUCCUCAUCAGGGAGGACUGAUGAUUGAAUUUGUUAUACACAGCUUCAACAGACAAAACAUAAUUCCCCCAGAGUCUCUUGUACAUGAGAGAUACGUCCUUAGUGGAAUGUCUGUACCAAGGAUUAAGGACUUUGGUUGUAAGACCCAAAAUUUAUGAAUAAAGAUUAAUUUUUUUCAAAAUAUAUUUUUAACUAUUAUGGUGUGGAUUUGAUAUAAAGUUAUAGUUGUGGGUAAUAUUUACAAAUUUUGCAAAGUAAGCAAGUUGUUAUAAAAUAUUUGAUUGGUCGGGGAAUAUUCGUUUUAACAGGGAAUAUUUGUACGAUGGAAAAAUCAUUGGUGAACCCCAUAACAGAAGUAUUGUCAUAGUUAGAAAAUGAUAGAAAUAUCUUUUUAUAAAAAUAACGGCGAAAGUUUUAUCGUUAAGCUGUUUAAAUACCCGGUGGUAAAAGUACAGUAAUACGCGUGGUUUCAUAGUAGCACACGGUAUUGUACAGUAUCUUUGAUUAUUGAUGCUUACGUGAGAAGUCACUCGGUUAUACUCAAUUCUUGCUACAGUAAUUGAUGCAUAAUAUCUCUCAUAUUAUUGGUUCAAUUAUUGUCACAGUAUCAUCUGCAUAAUAUUUUAUAUUAUUAAAUAUAUAAUUGAGACGACAAAGUUAUUCAUAUUAUUAUUUGCAUUAUUGACGAUGUCUAGAAAGUUCUGUCAAUGAAAGGGGUUUAGUCACCUAAUUACGCGCCAAUAGGGAGAAAUUCUUAUCGGAAAGCCCCUCUUUCCAGGGAAUGAUCUGGUUGUUAAAUAUUGUGAGUUAUAAUAUUAAUGAUGAAUAAGUUCGUGUUGAUUAAAGAUGUUUGUUCAUUUAGUUUUCUUAAUUCUUACGUGACCCAAUUACCCUCAGAGUAGAUAUUUUUGUGAUUGACUGUUUUAUUGACCAAACGGGCAAUUAAUCGGAUAAAUGAGCAAUUAAUUGCUAUUAGUUCACAUGCAUAUAACUAUUUGUUCACAUGAAUAGAACUAUUGAUUCACAUACAUGUACUAUUGAUUCACAUACAUGUACUAUUAGGGGAGGUGGUACAAGUUUGAUACUACUUGUAGGACUAAAUUAAAAAUAGAGGAAAAGAUGAAGGUACUAUACUAUAAUUAUAAAAACCCAAAACCCUAAUAAGACUCGUAUGUAUAAAAUCCCGUUAUAUAAAUAAAAUAUCUCCGUUUUGAAUGUGUUAUGUGUUAAUAUAUACUUGGUUUGACAAAUUUGACCAAAUAAAUUUUUAUCUGAAAAACGUCGUGCUUGACACCUCGUGCUUAAUUUUUUUUUCAAUAAUCGAACUUCUCGGUAAAAUUAUUUUGACAAGUUGCUUUGUCGUGUUUACACUGGCAAAACACUUCGUCGUGCUUGUUAGGAUUAGUGAGAAAUUUAGGUUAACAAUCCUAGAUUAACAAACACUAACCCUAAUUAGCAAAACCCUAACCCUAAUUUAUAAACCUAACCCUAAUUAGCUAAACUAACUCUAAUUAGCUUGUGUUAACACCUAAUCAUGGUUAGUAAACUUCAAUUAGGUACUAAUUAACAUUACUUAACAUUCCUAAUCAUUAGAAACAAAACCCUAAUCAAGAUUAGUGAAGAUUAAAGCCUAAUUAAGCUACUAAACAAACCUAACUAGCUCACAAGUAGGUUAGGAGUCACAAUUGCAAGUUCCAAGAUAGCACAUGACAUGCUUGUAACUCCCAAGCAUCACAAUAGUCAUCAGAUCAGAUCUUUAUAGAGGCAAGUAUGUUAGUUUGGUAGAACACGUUUUCAUAACAUCUAGAUGCCUUAAUUAAGUGUUUUAAGAAAUCUGGAAAUUUUAAAAACUAAGUCAGACAGUCGAAUGUCAGGGCCUAUAGAUUCAUUUGUGUUUAUAUUUUGGUCCGUUAAUUGUUUGUUAUUUGUAGCCUGUUAGUAGGUCUUUAAUCUGGAAAAGAAAAUAGGUUCAUUUGAACUAUAGAUUUCAAGUUAUAAGCAGUCAAUGUGGGUUGACCGUUCACGGAUUAUAGUUUUCUGGGUUGCCCAGAAAGCUCAAUAACAGUCAAACCGACAACUUUGACCAAUCUAUUUAAUCAUCUUCUAUUUGUGAUUUUUGUAAGUUUUUGUCAUAGAUCAAUACCCUGUUAUAUCUACUACAUAUCUAUAACCUUUAAUUAAACAAACAAUGUAUAUGUUUACUGGAAUUAAUGGUCAAAAGUCGUUGACCGAGCUUGACCAAGUUUUUUGGGUUUUCCAGAAAACUGAAGAACACGAAAAACAACGUUUGGCUGUACUUUGACCAGCAUAAUUAGAGACCUUAGAUUUAUGCUUUGCUCAUGUUAAUGUUAUAUAUAUGUACCCUGACAUAUAUACUACAUGUUACAACAAACAUCACAGACAUCUAAUACACAAAAUCAAAGAUAUUUAAGUCACAAAACCGUUGACCGACCAUGACUUCUGUUCUGGGUUACCCAGAAACUCAAGAACAGCUCUGACAGUGACUUUGAGCCUCUAUAACUUCUUGUUAUAUGUAGGUGAAAGCCUAAAAUUUGUUUCAUGUUAUACUACUGUAUGAGUACUACAACAUCAACUCUUGAACAAACCAAGAAUCAUCAUCAGUAGCCUUUUAAUUAGUGUUCAAACUAGUCACUCGACCAUGACCAAACUGCUGCCCAGAAACUCAAGAACACCUAUAGCGACACUUUUUGUCACUAAAGGGCUUUAGCGACAAACAUAAAUUAUUUUUCUAAAAAUAAAUUAGAAAUAAUUAGAAAUAAUUAAUAAAUAAAUAUAAAAAUAGUUUUAAAAAUUAUAUUAAAUUAUUAUAAAUAAAUUCUAAUAUUUUUAUAUAAAUUUAAUAAAUAUUUUAUAUUAUUUUGAUAUUAUUAAUAAUUAACUUAUUAAUAAAGAAAUUAGAAUAAAUUAUUUAUAAAUACUAAAUAAUUAUGGAAAAAUAUUAUUAAUGAUAUAAAAAUUAUAAUAAAUGAAUAUAAAUUAUUUAAAAAUAAUAAUCAAUGUUUUUGUAAAAUUUUAAGUAAAUAUUAAUUACUUAUAAAUAGAAAUAAAUGAUUUAAAAAUCAAAAUAAAUGUUUUAAAUACUUUAAAAUUUCUAAAAAGGUAUUUAAAUUAUAAUUAAAUUUUAUAAAUAAAAUUUAGUCCAUUUAUCAAAGGUGUUAAACACCAAACCUAAUUAAUCUAACCCGAUAUUAUAUUAAUAUUAUAAUUGAGUAUUGUUAUCAAUACUAACGUGUUAGAUUUAUAUAUAUGAACUUCGUAGGUAUUUAUUAACGAUUGAAUAACAUAACUUAACUGAUCUACGCUCAGGCAAGUUCUCUAUCCUUAAAUCUCUUAUAAAGAAAUUUUCUUAAACCUUGUUUAUUCAUUGGACAAGAUUUUUUAUCUUAAUAUGCUGUUGAUAUAAUAUACUACACCUACAAUUGAAUUGCCAAAUUAUUGUAAAGUUAUUGCUAUAGAUUCAGCAUGCUCAAAAAUGAAUUGUUUAUUCAGAUGAUAAUGUUUAUUGAGCAUAAACUGUUGUGUCAAACCAAAUUGUUUUAGUAAGACAUCUUAUACUGAAGUUGGGUAUCCCAUAAGGGAUUGAAAUUUAGUCAAUUCAUAUAUUGACGUUUAGUGUAUUUUGAGCACUGAUAGGAUGAUAUGUAUACUCCUAGGAUAUUGAAUAGGUUGAUCCCCUAUCUCAUAUCUAAAAAAAAAUUCUAAGUCUGUGUAACUGACAGAAAUAAAGAAAAAUUCCAGAAAUAGUUGAAAUAAAUAGAAAUCCAGAAAUGGUACAACUAUCAGUCGAAAUUUGAAUUAUUAUAUUUCUUCAAAUCCUGUAUUGUUAUAAAUACACAACUUGUCGAACAUGUCAUAGCUCACCCUUGCAAAUUAUUCCCUUUGCAGUUUUAGAAGGUAAUCCUGGAACUUCUGGAGUAGAUAAAGGGAAGCGUCCCUAUAUAGAUUAGAUUAUAUUCUUGUUGUUUGAAUACCCUAUAAUAAGAACUCGUUAUGAGAAUCAUGUAAUCGAAUAUUAAUAUUAUGAUAUAUAUAACAUCUUUUAUUUUCGCAACCGUGUUUUCUUACAUAUAUAGAUGUAAAAUUAGACUUCUUCGAAUCUAGUUGAGAUCCUUGGGAACUAUUUAUCUGAGUGAGGGUAUCAAUAGCAUGGACUGUUCAUGUUGUUAUUGAUACUCUGGAUUUCGGAUAGAUAGUUACUAUUGAUACGAUAGUAUAAAUUCGUUUGGCUUAGACUAUACAUCUGGGUGAGGGUAUUAGUAAUAUGGACUGCUCAUGUUAUUGUUGAUACUCUGAAUUUCGGAUAGAUAGACUCUAGUCAUAGAUACAGUUCAUAUAUCCAAGUGAGGGUAUCCAAACACAGUAAAAGUUCUCUUGAGAAUUGACAUCUGUUAUGGGAUACUGUGAAUUUUGUAUCUAUGAGAAUUAUAUCUGCUAGACCCUCUAUUUAAUGUAAUCUUAUAAUCAGAUACCAUGGGUGUAUAGAUUUAAAAGCAUUAUGUUGACUUUCUGUAAACACCAUAUCAGAUACCAUGGGUGUAUAGAUAUGGGGGCGUUACAGUAAUAAUUAGAGCCCCAAAACAAGCAAUUAUCGAAACUAUGUUUUCCUAUAAAUAAAAGCUCAUUCUCACCAAUUCAUUAAGACUCACAAGAGCAAUUAUAGAGAGAAAAUCUAUAUAGAGAAAGAAGAAGAGAAGUCUGCUACUUCAAUAUUCCAAUAUCCAGUCUUCUUCUCAUGUAAGGGGUAUUAUUUCUUUCGUAUUCGUAAGGAAAUUAUCUUUAUUCAAUAUCCGUAUAAAAUAAUAUUUUCUUCCAUACUCUGUAGUAUGUAAGUAAUAUUAUUUCAUUUUGUAUCCCUAAUUCUACACUCAUUUUGUUGAAGUAUUGUUUCUAUACUCCGUGAAAUUAGUAGAAUAUCCUUGAAAUUUGCGCUUCAUCUAAUAUCAUUUCACAAGGAUAUUUUUCUGAACAUUCUUGUUAAAUUUUAAGCUUUUCAUGUCGGAGUACUAUUCAUGGGUACUAUUCAUAUGUACGGUACUUUUCACAGAGUACUAUUCAUGGGUACUAUCAUAAGUACAGUACUAUUCAUAAAGUACUAUUCAUAGGGAACUAUUCAAAAAAUACUAUUCAAAUAAUACUAUUCAAAAAGUACUAUUCACAAAGUAUUAUUCAUAAAUUACUAUUCAUGGAGUACUAUUCCCGAAGUACUAUUCACGGGGUACUAUUCACUCGGGUACUAUUCACCUGAAGUACUAUUCAUGACAAAAAUUGAUUUCUUUUCGGUCCAAAUCAUUUUUGAUAAUAUAUUAUUCUUGAAUUUUACCCCACAAAGCAUUUUCAUGUUGAGAAUUUGGAUAUUAUUGAAUUCUGGAUAAACUAAAUUAUAAAUAUUUUAAAUUUACCCUUACUUUUAUUUAAUUGAAUUCUUAUAUCAUUGUCAUCAUCCUCAUGUUUAUAUUGUGAUGAAAGUCAUCAUUUGCCAUAGUGCAUAGAUGGACUGUUGAUUGGUAUGAUUAUAACUAGGGAUUAUUCGGUAUAAUCAUGACCCGUAAUGUUACAACUGAUCUGGCAAAAGUCCACAGUGGCCCGUAGUGAAUUGAUUGAUAGAUGUUGGUAUGAUCAUAACCAUGCGUUCUCUUCGGCCAAGGGUGCAAAGAUAAAUUAUUGUUUGGCAUGAACAUGACCGUUGAUGAAAACAUGAAUAUCCUUGGCCCGUAGUGCAUAGAUAAUUUGUGGUCGUUAUACUAAUGAAUAUCAUUGGCCCGUAGUGCAUGGAUAAUUUAGUGAUGUGGAGUAUUUAUUAAGAUGAGUCUUAACGAUAAAAUUGAUGGUAAACUUUUAAAUCAUAGAAGAUAGUAGAUAUCAUGCUCUACUUAACUCUUCUAAUGGAUUGCUUAUUCCACUAUAGUUGUUGAUCUAAAACUUGUUGUCUAUUGUAUUCUAUCAGUUGUUAUAUUGUUGAAGGCUAAGGAUAAUUUAUCCUGCAUUAUCUUAGUCAUAAUAUUUCUUGCUGGGCUAGUUAAGCUCACCCUUUUCUUUCAUUGUUCUCUUCAGGAAAUGAGAAUAUAACUGGGAUGAGUCGUGGCAUGGAGUGAUGGUCCAGGAUAAGUGGCUAUAGUAGUCCUCACUAUUCUAUGAAAUAGUGUCAUAAUGAUUAUAAUGAGGACUCCAUUAAGUGUGGAUAUUGUCUAGAAGACAAUAUUCGUGUUAAAACUCUCAUCUUAUGUUUUUUUGUAUUGUACAUGACAAUUGUAUAAAUAAGUUGUAUUUGUAUUCUGUACCAUGUAUUUGGCGACCCAAGAUGGGUGAUGUAUUCCUGUUUUGGGGGCGUCACAGUUGGUAUCAAAUCUUAGGGAUAUGAUCCGUGGCUGAUAUGUGAGACUAGAACUAGGAGGGGAGAAACGCGUUAAUCCUUCGCUAGUAUGACCUACUUAAGUUAUUUGUUAUUUAAUUGGUCGGUAAGAGUAUAGGGAUAAUAUGUGGCAUGUCAAUUAACCCUUGUUUUGUGAUAGUGUUUAAGAAUGGCAUCUGAAAAUGUUGAGAUAAACAAUGAAGCACAUGAGACCGUUGAGUCACUAACGAUCAAUAACUAGGAUAAUGUGUAUCAGAAAGUUAUAAUCCUCGUGUAAACAACAACACUGACCAAAUGAUGAACGAUGGUAUGUUUAGGAACUUUUUAGAAUUUACGGAAAACUAAACAAGAGAGACUCAUGUUCAAAAUGUAGGUGGAAACACUGCCAACUUGUAGCAUCCCCAGAUCCGGGUCCCGAAUCGCCGCGGAUCCGGUUCGCUAUUUCUACAACUGUUUGCGGAAGAUAUAAACAUAGAUUGUUUAUACAUUAAACUUUACACACUAUUCCCAAAAUCGAGUAACCUUAACUAAUACACAAUCGUGAACUGUCUAACACAUGACAAUACUAUUCUUCAACAUACUUUACAACUUAACUUCACAUUCUAUCCCAAGCUGAACUUGGCAUUAUCCUUUUCCUGUAUCUGGCCGUAUUCGCCUUAUCUGCAAUGUUUUAUCAUGAUAUAGCAAGGGUGAGCAUGAAAGUUGCCCAGCAAGUUUAAAAAAAACAAGGUAAAGAUAUAUCAUGAUUGAAAGAGUUUGAAUAAUAAGCUGGCUAUCCUUCACAAUGUAGUUGUGAAUUAGCAUGAACAAAAUUUCAAAGCUGAAUGAACAUUGAAAAUGAACAUAACAAUUAUAUCUGAACUGACUGGUAAUGAAGGUGAUCAGCCUUUCAUACCUGAUGAAUACAUGCAAUAUGUACAGAGUACAAUUCAUAAGCAUAUCUGUCUGAAACCACUCUUAAAAGAGUUUAAGUAAAAAGAACUUGAAAAACUUGCCUGAACCGUUGAUUACCGUAACGCAAUAUAAUACGCUUCUCCUGAAGACCUAAUAUUAAUAAUAUAGAUCUCCAAUAUUAGAAUAAUAUCAUCACCGUUAUAAAAUAACUUAAACACAUAAUCCUAUCAGUCUAUACAGCAUAUAAAACCUAUAAUAGAUCUUUCGGUUAGUCAUAACAUAUAGUUAAGUAUUAGACAUUAGUUUUAAGUCUUAAUAUUAUUAUUAUACUUUGAUAUUCUUUUAAUCACAUCAUAACUUAUACUUAUAAGUUAUUCAUUUUUAUAUGUUAUCCUAGUAAAUUAGAUAACAUCUUAGUAAACCGAAAUACCAUUUCAGUAAGACGGAUUUUAUUUCAGUAUCCCGAAAUCACUAUUCUUUUUCACGAAAAAUACCAAAUCAACUUAUUAUUUUUUUAUCCUUUGGUCAAACAUAUAUACAUGUAUUUCAUACAUAAAAAAUAUUUUUCCGUAAUUUUUCAAUUUCUUUUACUAUUUUUCAAAAAUCAUAAUUAGUGCGUGACUUAAGAAAAUUAGCUACCUCGUGCUUAACUCCAGAGAUGCCCAUCUUUUGACAUAACCUUAUAUAUGUUAACGUGAUGCUCCAUUUUAAAUUUCGUGGCAAUCGGAGUUGUAGAACUCCGGUUAUAGCGAUUUCCGUCGGAAAAUCACAAAAAUUGAAAUGGUCAUAACUUGGUCGUUUUAAGCCGGAAUUAGCUCAUUUUUGGACACGAGCUACAUAUUACCAUAUAUUUUCAUUUCCCAAAAGCCUGUAAUUUUUCUCAUUAACUAAAUGUCCAAAACAGCCCUCGGAAAAUUUUGGCCAGAAACUUUUUGCACUUUGGCAGUUUUGGAGUCCUUCACCAAAACUUAAAUAAAACGAAAUCUGUAACUCCGAUUAAUGAUCCGUCAAUUUUGUUGGAUUCGUAUCUUUCCGAACUACAGUUUUCAUAUAUCACAAUCCAUAUUUGGAUAUGUUUAGCUCCCGGAAUUUAGCCCGGAAGUGACUGUUCCAAAACUGUCCUUUUCACAGUUUUCUUAACUUUGUGUAGUUUGGGAGAAAUCCCAUAACUCCCUCCUCCGAUGUCGGAUUUAGUCCGUUUUGGAGUCUAUGGAAAGCUUAUUGAGUGUACUAUAACAUAUCACAAGUCCAGAAUUUUUAGAGCACUCUAACAAAUCCGAAAUUUUCUGUUUUAGGGCAGCAGUCCACUAACUCAUUUAAAACAAAAAAAACUGUUUUGGUUAUUCUUCUUUGUUCAAGCCUAUCAACCCUAAAAAUGGCAAGAUCUAACCAUAAAAUAUCAUUUAUCAUGUAGAUCUAUAGUUCUCAUGUUCAAGAUCUUAAACUUAUGGUUCAAAAUCAUAAGUUCAACACUUGAUCUAAAACACCAUAUCAAAACACUUUAACUAACAAGAGUUUUGAGUUUAGGAAAUUUUUACCUUUAGCUUCAUGACAUAUCUUUUUCUUCCAACUAUGUGAUGGAUCUUGGAUGGAAUGAAAAAUCAAAAUCUCUUCUCCUUCUUUCUUGGAGUUUCCUAACUCCCCUCUCCCUCUCUCUCUUGUCUCUCUCUUUCUUUCUUAGUUAUGUUGGAAAAUAAGAUGAGAAAAGUGAAGAAUAUGAUUUUUGUUUAGUGUAAUAAUGUAAGAAAUGUAUCUAGACAUUAGUUUGCUUGAUAAUUGAGGUGUAAUAGCAUAGUAACAUGAGUGACUUCUAGAAGCAAUUGAUUAGCUAGCAUAAUUGAAGAUUCUUAUCAACAAUGUUACUAAUAAUACACUAAUAAAACAAAAGGGUAUACUAGUAAUUUCCACAUUAAUAAAUGAUUUCUUUUUAAUUCUUAUUUAUUAUACCAAAUGUCCAAUAUGUCCCUCCUUAUUUGGGCUUAAAUUUGGGUCACCAUUUCCAUCUUUUGGGCUAUCAAUAAAUAAUAUAUUGGACUUAAAAUUUAAUUCUUUGGGCCAUGUAAAUUAACAUAGUCCAACACUCUUAAUUCUUAUCCAACCCAAAUCAUUUAAUUAGGGUUUUCAUUUUCCUCAAUUAUAACUUAAAUCCUUACUCAUGCACAUUUAUUUCCUUAACCCAAUUAGACUUGCUAAAAUUAGGUUAUAAAAUUAAUUAACUGAGAUGUAUAAAAUAAAUCUCUCAUAAUUGGUAUAUAUUCUAAAUACCAUAAUUUUCUCAUCUCAUAACCCUUAAGUUAUUAAAUUCUUCAUUCCUAAUAUAUAAUUAGGAUCACAUUAGUUUCUUUUAUUUGUUUAUAUAAUAAACAAUAUAAACCAUCACAUAAUCUUCAUAUUCCUUUACUCACCUAUUCGAACAAAAUAAUUUAAUAAAUUGUGACAUGUUCCACAAUUCUCUUAAAUUAGGUCACUAAUAUAAAAAUAAAAUAUUAGGACCACUAAAUAACGAUAACCAUUUAGGUUAUUUAAUUAUCACACCUAAUAUAUAUAUUAGGUUACAUAAUUUAAUUCUUACUUCACUUUUAUAUACAAAAUAAAUGUAUUCACAUUAUAUAAUGUAUAUUUAUUUAAUCAUACACAUAAUUCAUAUUCAUUACACACAUAACUUUUAAUCCCUUAGGGUUUUAUACAAAACAUUAGGAUUUCUAAUUUAACAAUUAGGGUUAUCCCUAAUAUAUAAUCACAAAUACUUAAGCCAUUAUAUUUAGCCUUUGACUUCCCAAAUUAGGGUUUCAAAUACUGAAUUAGGAUUUCGGAUUCCCGGUACUGAAAUUAGGGUUUCCAGAACCGAUUUCUAGGGUUUCUUAUAAAUCGUAAUAAUUUUAUAACUGAACGUUGACGUUCUAAUAAUAUUAGGGUUUGACACAGAUAUAAUUUAUCUGGUCAACACUUGACCCUUAACCACAUUCUGUACACAUAAUACCGUAAUCACAGAAUAUAUACACACAUACCCUUAAUCCUGAAUAAUUCACUAAAAGAAAUUUUAAAUCCUCAAAAUUCCUUUCUGAAAACAUCAAACACAUACACUUAUUCUCUGUCUAGGUCUAUUAUUUGACCUUAAACCAAUCAUUUAAGAUUUUAAUAAUUUUCUAAUUUCUCGGGUUGUCACAUUCACCCCUUCUUCUAAGAAUUUCGUCCUCGAAAUUAAAGCAUCCUAACCUCUGCUCAUUCUCUUGAUCAAAACUAGGUUUUCAAUUUAACCUUUACAAUUUCCUCAUUCGAGGAUUUCUCAUCUAUUAUCACAUUUCACCAUAACUACUCACUAGGAGUUUACAUCUUCUAAACAUUCAUCAAAACUAGGUUGUCAUAAUAACCUUUAUUUAAUCAUCUCAGAUUCUACUCGUACGCAACGAGUUUACACUAUUUCAUAUCCAUCAUCACAUUCUACCACAACAUUACUUUGAAGAGUUAAAAAAAACUUUUCAUAUCUGUCUGAGGGAUCAUAAAAAUUAUGAACUUUGAACUCCGAGGUUUAGGGGUAUUUCUACCUGCUACCUCUUUCAAUUAAGAAAGAAAGGUACUCUACCUCUUAAACAUUUCUUUAAUAGGUAUGUUUACAAUCACGAAGAAGGUAAACUACCGAUUCUGGUACUUUAGAUGAUCAGUCUAUUGUACCUUAGUAAUCCGAACGACUAUAUGCGUCCUUAAAUUGGAAUAUUCUAUCCAAUUAGUAUAUCCCCAUUUUCAGGGUUGUUCACCUCAGACUUAGUAUAGGAUUCCGCACCAAAACAAUUUGGUUCGGGAAAUUUCUUUCAAUGAACACUUAGAGUUUUCAUAAACAUUAGUCUAGCUGAAUCGAAUAGCAUAGACUCAUAUCGAUAAUUCAGUUCAAUAGAAUUAUUUAAGUAUAGCCAAACCCCGUUGGCAAAUUAAAAUUUUGAAAACAUUUUUCGAGAAUGACGUCAUGAUGCCGCACUGUAUUUACAGUCCGUUGAGGAUUCCGUCAUUUGGUGAUUUUAUCAUACUACAUCAUACCAUAGUGGGUUGACGAUCCUGAGAUCACAUCCAACACUAAGUAAUACUGCAUUGAUGACUCCAUCAUUUUUUUAUCAUCUCUGCACCAGGUUGCAUGGUACAUAAGUGAUAAAUAAAAACAACUUUUGAUACUUCAAAUCAUUCGCGUCUAGCCGAAAUAAGUAGCAUAGACUGUACUUUAAACCGUUUCAAAAAUGUUUGCAAUUCAGUUUUAUCAUCUCAACAAGUAACGAGGUGUCGAUGGCCCAAAGUCCACACAUACACAAUAAUCAUCAGGAGUUGAGAAUAAAAAUUCAUUUUUUCAAAAGCACAUAGUGCGUAUUUAGCUUGAUGUCAAAAAUUCGAAGUCUAGCAUAGCUAGAAGAUUUGGAAUACCUAUGCUUCCAUCAUCAACUUCACUUUUUCUACUGAUCCAUUACUUAAUAGAUCUAUCUAUUCUUAUAAUCCUCAAUACUUCUUUCACACAUAACUAUACCCAGUUCGUCAAACUUACCACACUUAUGAGUUCAGGAACUUACCACAAUCAUAUGAGUUUAAGAACUUUCCUAGACAGACCUUUGGCGUCCAUUCGCUGAGGGGUCCAUAAACAUUUCAUAUAAUCAUGAGUCACGAACGUACCAUAAGUAUGAGUUUUAAGAACUCGUACUUAACCUUAUAUCCUCUAUCUAUGACCUAUCUACCUGUUAUACACAUGAGAAAGGAAUCACCCUCUGAACAUGCAUAUAACAAAUAGCGCGACAUAAACAUUUCAAUGAUUAUCAGUGCCAGAAACUAAGUGGUUUUUACACCAAGUACAAUUCAGCUCCCAUACGAAGAAUCAUACAACUCAGCUGCCGACAUGAGUCCUCAAUUGAAUCCCCACCUAACACUAACCCCUUCUCCAUACGAAUUUAAUUCGUAUUUAUAAUUCUCUUCUGGAUCUGUACCAAUUUAUAGUACAAUUCAUACACAGCAAUCUUGCUGUAAACUUUUCAUCAUUCUCUGGAUCUUUCUUCAUACCAUAACCUUAUCAGAUCACGGAGUGAUCUCAUCGUAUAUAUUACGAUUCAUUGCUAUUCUGUGAUCGUUUUGUUUUACGAUCUCCCAUCCUUACACUUGUAAUCUCUUAGACUCUAUCUAUCCACUUCCUAUACUUGGUACACAUCGAGUCUCUAACAGUUUUCAAUAUGGUACGCUGAGUGGUUUCCCACAAACAACCAACAAACUAGGUUCCGAGUUGCUAGUUCGUAUAUACCUCCGCUCUAUGAAGGAAUCGUUUAGCCCAGAUACCAUACAUCAACUAGUUUCGAGUACAAUGGUACCAUACUUAAACCUAACUUUCUGACCCUGCGAGAUUCUUCAACUAACUCUAUGUGAGUUAGUACUUAUCCUAAUCACUGCGGUUAUUGGUCUAAGGUAUUGCUACCUAAGCUUCAUAACCAACAGCUUUGAUACCAACUGUAGCGUCCCCCAAAUCCGGGUCCCGAAUCGCCGCGGAUCCGGUUUGCUAUUUCUACAACUGUUGCGGAAGAUAUAAACAUAAAUUGUUUAUACAUUAAACUUUACACACUAUUCCCAAAAUCGAGUAACCUUAACUAAUACACAAUCGUGAACUGUCUAACACAUGACAAUACUAUUCUUCAACAUACUUUACAACUUAACUUCACAUUCUAUCCCAAGCUGAACUUGGCAUUAUCCUUUUCCUGUAUCUGGCCGUAUUCGCCUUAUCUGCAAUGUUUUAUCAUGAUAUAGCAAGGGUGAGCAUGAAAGUUGCCCAGCAAGUUUAAAAAAAACAAGGUAAAGAUAUA
rnacentral:lncRNA from 1 species